rnacentral:rRNA from 1 species
UACGUAGGGGGCUAGCGUUGUCCGGAAUCAUUGGGCGUAAAGCGCGCGUAGGCGGCCCGGUAAGUCCGCUGUGAAAGUCAAAGGCUCAACCUUUGAAUGUCAGCGAAUACUGCCAGGCUAGAGUCCGGAAGAGGCGAGUGGAACUCCUGGUGUAGCGGUGGAAUGCGCAGAUAUCAGGAGGAACACCGGUGGCGAAGGCGGUUCUCUGGGUAUUACCUGACGCUGAGGAGCGAAAGUGUGGGGAGCGAACAGG